UGGGCCAGCAGGGGCGAGGAACAUCAUGGGGAUUCGCGUGCCUUCUCCUUUCUGCGUGCUGCUCCUCCUCCCUCAUUGCUUCCAUUCGCGGCGGUUCCUCUGCCGCCCUGUCUCCGCUAACGCCGCCGUCACUGGCCAUGGCGCCGCCGCUGUUCUCAUCUCAAGAAUACGUCUACAGGUAUGUAGCACACGCCUCUCUCUUCCUCUCCCUCUCAAAUCCCACAGAUUCUCACCUUUCUCUGUGCAGUAAUUUCUAUUUUGUUUAUGCCUGCAAGGUGUUUGACAAAAAUCCCACAGGUAAGAUGAAUCCACGUCUUAUCUUUACUCUAUUGUUAACUUUUAAUAAUUUUGUUUUUCCUGAAAUUUGGCGUCUAGCAGUUUGCAAUAGAUUUGAAAAUAUGGAUUCUAAUAAACAUAUUUGGAUCGGACAAGAACUGAACUGUAUUUGUUUUGGAUUCUGCCACUAGACGGUACUGCACACUUCAUGGUGUUCACUUUGUGUCGUGCUGCCUCGCGGACGCUGCAGUCGCCCAAAGCAGCACCGCUUCAUGCCGCUGAUGUCGUCGCCGCCUCAUCAUCACCAUCAUUGGGAGCAGCGCCACCUCAUCAUCGCUGUCUCUGGGAGCAGCGCCACCUCACGCCAUCGAUGCUGACACCGCCAUCGCCCGAAGCAUCGCCACUUCAUUCCAUUGAUGUCGUCGUCGCUUGGAGCACCACCACAUCGUUGAGCCCUGAUCACAGUAAAAGAUGCAAGUCACGAAUUAAGAAAUCUACCAUGGAGGCGCUGCAAAAUUAUGUUGGUGUCCAGCAUUUUUGGGUAAUUCUAUCCUGAGAAAUUUAAUCAGAAGGAAGAGCUAUUUUCUUACAUGGGGAGGUGGAACCUGGAGGGAGCAGAGUGGAUUGUUGUUCUCUGCCUGAGGAGAUGGGACGACCACAUGCGCUACUUAGGGAGGUGUGGGCGUCGAGCGAUGGAAGCGCGACCAAUGUAGAUGAUGUCAAGUGCAGCAUCAGAGCUUCAAUUAAGUUGUGCACAAUUUGUGCUCCAGUAUACCAUGGGAAGAUCCUUAUUCUACGCCCUUCAUCAUUUCGAAGUUAUGGAGGAAAAUCUAUUUAUCUUUUGUAUUUAACCUCGGUAACUUUUGAUCUCUUGUGUAAAAAUAUGUCUACAUAAGCAAUCGCACGACUGAUAUAGCAACAUGAUAUAGCAACCGUACAGUUGUACAUCUAUUCUCGAUUUAUUAUAUUUUACUCC